rnacentral:rRNA from 1 species
AACGAACGCUGGCGGCAGGCCUAACACAUGCAAGUCGAACGAGAAGCCACCUUCGGGUGGUGGACAGUGGCAGACGGGUGAGUAACGCGUGGGAACGUGCCUUUUGGUUCGGAACAACACAGGGGAAACUUGUGCUAAUACCGGAUAAGCCCUUACGGGGAAAGAUUUAUCGCCGAAAGAUUGGCCCGCGUCUGAUUAACU